CCAUGAAGGCGUGUCUGGGAUGAUGGAGGUGAUAUCGGCCAGGUCCCCGUUGCCGUCGACUGGCGGCGGCCACCGUGUCCUCUUCCAUGGCGUCGGCGGGGCCUUCCCCUGCCAAGCGCGACGGCUCCUUGGCUGGAUCACCGUCGCACACCUCGCCGGCGUGGUCGGCAAGAUCUGCAUCUCAAUCCUCGCCACUCUCCAUCCUCUUGCAGCUAAUAGGCUUUCCGCCCCCUCUUUUAUCUCCCGCGUUCUCGUGCGCACGGAUUGUGAGCGUGAAGGAAUAUUUCUCUUCUAUUUCAUGGUGCUGAUGUGAUCCUUCUGCCUUCACACUGCACAUAUAUAGAUUCUUCAAAGGAAUUGGAUGCUGAUAAUAUCAACUUAGUUCCCUCGCUUUGAAUUGAUUGCCCCAAACAAUAUAUCUCUGGUUGACAGUCAUGGCCUAUUAUUAUUGUUCUUAAUUUACAACACUCUGUGUUGUAUUGUCCAAUCAUGGUCCAAACUUAAACCUUGGCCGUGGAUUCAUUGUAUGUACCAUAUGCUGUUCAUAGCUACAAAAUUGCAAUCUCUUGAAAAUGUUCUUCAAUAUAGUAAUUUUUUUGUCACAUAACCCAUAUGCUGAUGAUAAAGUUUGUUGUAUCAGCUUGUGGCAUACUGAUUCGACAGGUGGCAGGUAUGCAUUCAGAUGUUGCAGCUCUAAGGAAGGGUAGUAUAUGGCACAUGGCUUCAUGGGUUGUUUGACAAGAAGUGUUUUGGGCAUAUUCGAAAGGCAAUCUUGUGAAAAUUGUACAUCGAUUUUCUUAUUCCGCCAUCAGCUUCUAUUGAUAUGAGCGAUACAAAAAGUUUAGCACUGAAUUUUAGUAUGUUAACUUGCAAAAUUUCUCGUGACUAUGUUUUUUUGUUAUAGGUUUAUAAAUUUCGAAAUAUAGUUGCAGCUUCACGGAAUGGACGGCCCAAAUUAUGUUAGUGUCUAUAUGUUUACUUGGUGGUGGUCUAGCGUGAGUGACACCUGCAUCUGUAACUUGCCCAUUGGAUGUUGUUCGAAAUCACCUGACAACACAGAAAACCACUAGGUAUUACAAGGGCAUCUUUCACACGUUGUCUACAAUUUGUAGAGAAGAGAGUGGUAGAGGAUUGUAUAAAGGCCUUUGGUCCACCUUAUUGGGAGUUGGACCUGAUAUAUCAAUCAACGUUUAUGUAUAUGAAUCCCUGAGGUCUCAUUGGCAAAUGGAAAGUUGAAUGUCAAACUGUGCGACCAAUGAUUUGCUAUGGUUAAUUCCAGUUGGGUGUGUUAACCUACAGUAAUCAAUCAAGUCAACAAAUAUAACAAUGAUACUUUGUCUUCUGAUUUUUGGUGGUGAUUUUUUUUGUGACUGAACUAACAGGAGCUGAAGCAUGUGUUCUUAUUUUUUUAUAUGACUAGAUGCAUAU